ensembl:lncRNA LINC02207 long intergenic non-protein coding RNA 2207
UAGAUGGCAUAGCCUACUCCGUACCUAGGCUGUAUGGAAUAGCCAAUUACUCCUAGGCUACAAACCUGUACAGUCUGUUACUGUACUGAAUACUGUAGGCAAUUGUAACACAAUGGUACUUGUGUAUCUAAACAUAGAAAGGUACGGUAAAAAUAUGCUAUAAAAUAUAAAAAAUGGCAUACUUGUGUAGGGCACUUACCAUGAAUGGAGCUUGCAGGACUGGAAGUUGCGCUGGUUUUUGUUAAAAAUGAAGAUAUGGACACGCAAUAGCCUAGGCCUACACAGGGUCAGGAUCAUCAAUAUCACUCUCUUGUCCCACCUCUUGUCCCAUUGGAAAGUCUUCGGGGCAAAAACACACACGGAGCUGUCAUCUCCUGUGAUAACAGUGCCUUCUUCUGGAAUACCUCCUGGAGGACCUGCCUGAGGCUGCUUCAAAAUAACUUAUUUAUAAGUACACUCUAAAAUAAUGAUGAAAAAUAUAGUAUAGUAUUUAUUUCAUAAGCUAGUAACAUAGCCAUUUAUUAUUAUGUACUGCACAUAAUUGCAUGUGCUAUAAUUUUUUUACAAUUGAAAAUACAGUAGGUUUGUUUACACCAGGAUGACCACAAACAUUCCCCAGAUAGCAGAUGACUGGUAGGAAGAUGAGGCAAGUUUGCGGUCCAUUGUCAUGGAUAGUGGAGACAACACUGGGCCAGAAGUGGUAAGACCUGAAUCCAAGACUCAGCUCUGCCACUUGCUAAAUGGGACUUUGAAUAAACCAUUUCUCUGCACUUAAGUUCCUUACCAACAAAACGAGGGAAGUGGCCUACAUGCCUAGAUAUCAACAUUUCAUGUCACGUAGAGAUCUAGCAUCACAAGAAUCCAAGUCAUCCUCUGUUGCCUUUAAGAAAUUAGAAUUAAAGGAAUCAGAAUUGAAGUGAAUCUGACUACACUAAGCCUAUCACUUGUGACAGCCAUGGGAAGAUAUCAUUGGUUGCUGAGGAGCAGAAAUAAGCAGAGACCUAUUGUGUUAGGUUAUCAUUCAUUUCAGACAAAAAGCAGAUCAGCAAGUUUUCAUAUUGCACUAUUUUCAAUGGCUGGAGCAUCAACAUUUUACAACAAGAAAAAAAUUAAAAUUCUUCAACAUUUGGAAAAGAAGUGUUUGUAAAACUUUUCACAUCCAUUCACCAUCCGGAAAAGCAAGGUUUUACAGUGAGGCCUGAUGAUGUCUAGAGUCACCAUGCAUCUUGGAAAAUGACCUCCUAUUUAUUUCUUCUACAGGACACCAUGGUGUUCACCUUUCUACAACUUUACACUUGCUGAGGACAUAUUGUGGAAAAUUAAGAGAAAUAUAUAUGGAUGGCCAAGGCUGUAGAUGGAUGUCCAAGCCUUUUUACUGGGGAAUGUUUUCAGAACAAAAUGAGUUACAGGUUCAAGAGUGAAACCCAACAAAUCUUGGCUCUUUUUUUCUCUACUAAAUUCCAAAUCAAAA